UUAAGUUCAGCGGGUAGCCCUACCUGAUUUGAGGUCAAUCGGUCAACCAAAGGUCGCAGAGAACCUUGUCCGAAGACGAUUAGAAGCAGACCCGUUAGGCAAGCGCUUCCGGUGAACACAUUACUAUCACACCAUUCACGCAAACCAAAGUCCAGCUAAUGCUUUUCAGAGGAGCCGACACGUGCAGAGCGCACGCACCA
rnacentral:misc_RNA from 1 species